rnacentral:lncRNA from 1 species
UCGUCCAGCUACAGACUGUACUGAUAUUCUAUUGAAACCUUGAAAUUGCUGAAACUGUAGCUGAUCACCCAGUUUUUUAUUAACUGUUGAGAUUACGAUUUUCUGGCUAUUUUCUUAAUGAAGGAAUUUAACUUCAUCUGUUUGCAUUAUGAAUCUUUUCGUCAUAUCUGGCAAGAUUGUAAGAUAAUUUAUCACUUAUAAAUCGUGUUCUCUUAAUAAAACUAUCAAACAAAUUAUUAUAAUUUUGCAGAAUGAUAUAUUUAUAUAUAUCUUACAUAUACAGUAUGCAAUUAUGAACUGAAAUACAGAAUGAGAAAGAAAAUUCAAAAGAGAUUGACAUGCCCAUUCUCUUCAAACGAAGUUGUGAAUAUCUUAGAUUUCUAUCGAACCUACCGUCCAUAAUUUUAAUGACUUUUUCGCUGUAUCAUUUCAUGUUAUUUUUCUGUGCUUAUUUCUCUUUGUUGAUUGAUAAAAAUAUAAUAAUAUUCCGGUUAUAUCGACACUCAUUCAUAUUAUUCUGUCGUAUACAAAUUUCAAUAUUUUGAAGUAAAAAUUGUAAUAUUAUAUAUACAUAGAAUGAGUUGGGAGAAGCUGACCAACUUUUUCUUUUUGAC